rnacentral:rRNA from 1 species
CCCUUCGAUGUUCUGGGCUGCACGCGCGCUACAAUGAUAAAGUCAACGAGUAUUUUAGCUUGUGAGAGAUCACUGGCAAAUCUUAGAAACUUUAUCGUAUUAUGGAUUGCUGAUUGCAAUUAUUCGGCAUGAAACAGGAAUGCCUAGUAUCGGUGAGUCAUCAGCUUGCCGAGAUUACGUCCCUGCCCUUUGUACACACCGCCCGUCGUUUCUUCCGACUGAUACUCAUUGUGAGUUGCAAGGACCCUUUAUUGGGAAAUUGCUGCAAAUGCUUUGUAUUGGAGGAAGAAAAAGUCGUAACA